GCUCGCGCCUGUACAGGAGCGGACAUUUCCCAUCAAGCCCUUGCCACAGGAUGUCCGAGAGCAUCGCUACCUCCCUGCCAUAAAAACAAACCACUCAUCAGCUCCGCUCGGUGUGUGCCAUCGAGAGAAGUCGCCGCGGUGCGAACGGGCACCAUCUGUCCUGCCAUUCCUGGAGACGCAGAUAUAUUUCUUUAGACAGGGCACGUUCAGGGAAGCCUGCCUGCCUCCUGCACUUCCACACGGUAUCGAGUGGUCAUCUCCCCACCAACCUCCCAAAAAAAAAAAAGAGCAAACCAAACCAACAACAGACACCACCACCAAAAAAGAAACCUCAAAUGCGCCGUGUGAUCCCAACUUGGAGUUAAAGUCGGUGCUAACACGGUGGCCGGUCCUGCUGCAUCUGAUCGGGUUUGUGUGUGCGCGCGAGUGAGAGCGAGCCACGCAGAGAGCGCUGCCAUCCGAAAGGGGAAAGAAGAGCUCAAGCUGAGAGACUUAUUAAUUGCUAAGAGCUGCUCUGCCACCAGCCAUUUUGAGUUUGCACGAUUUAUUCCUCAUGAAGAGGAGGAAUGAAACGUGGGCAAACGCGGGGGAGAAAAUGUGCCGGCCAAGAGGAAGGAAGGAAGGAGUGGUGAAGGGAGAGGAGGAGGGUUUGUUAAGCGAUCGCCUUGUCCCCUGAGUCCGAGCCGGCUGGGAAUUAGUAACAGCGAGAUAGCGGAGGUUGUAUCCCUCCCUCUUCCUCCGCUUUCCCUUUCCUGGAGCGCUCAGACCCCCUGACAAUUAUUACCCUGGUAUCAACGCGGACAACGAGCUGUAUUCAUCAAACCUCAUUUGGGGAAAUUGAAAGGGAAUUAAAAAUAAAUAAAUAGAGAGAGAAAGAGAGAGAGAGAUCACGCGGGGAUAGGGGGUUUGAUCGCUCCGCGUACAGCAAUGACUGUCCGUCAGCUCCCAGCCCGCUGUGCAGGCAGGUAGAAAGCGCCCGCAGAGCAGCCCAGUCCAGCGGGCUGAGCGUGCGAUUUUGGGCGGGGGGGAGGGGGAGAGAGAGCCCCGGGCCCUCGCCCCCACCGCCUCUUCCCCAGCGAAGGGGCAACGAGGGGCACGGGGGGCGACAGGCAGCGCCUUCCCGGCAGUGCCAGACCCCGGCGUGGCACAGCGCGCGAACCCAAACCCCACGCAGCAGGCAGGGCACGGCACGUGGGUCUGGGGGAUUGCACAGCUGUUUCCUGAGCUGGCAAAAAAAU